UACGGGGGGGGCAAGCGUUGUUCGGAAUUACUGGGCGUAAAGGGCUCGUAGGCGGCCAACUAAGUCGGAUGUGAAAUCCCCAGGCUCAACCUGGGAACUGCAUCCGAUACUGGAUGGCUUGAAUCCGGGAGAGGGAUGCAGAAUUCCAGGUGUAGCGGUGAAAUGCGCAGAUAUCAGGAGGAACACCAACGGCGAAGGCAGCUCGCUAGGACGGUACUGACGCUAAGGCGCGAAAGCGUGGGGAGCGAACAGG
rnacentral:rRNA from 1 species